GCAUUCUAAUUAAUCCUUAUUUCAGAAAUAUAAAUAAUUUAGGAGCAGAAACUCCUCAACCGCUCGAUAACAGAUAACAUAUUUAAUACAAAUUGAAAUCACAGUGUGUAAAAUUUGAUUGAAUUUAUGUGCAAUCAAACGAAAAAUAACCGAUUGUUACGAAACAACGAGUGAAUGCAUGCAUUGAAAAUACACGAUAAUAAAAAAAUGUAAGAAUAGUAAAAGCAAAGAAAUUGAGCAGAAAAUAUGGCGAUAGCCGGAGAAAAUCCAAAUAAAAGAAUACGAGGUCUCUGUUGAACAAAAGAGAUAAAACACAACAAACCAAAAAUCGAAAAAUAGUUUAAGAAUAAAUAAAGCGUUUGGAAAAUAUCGAGAAAUAUUUCCUCUAAAGUUUAAAAAUAAGCUAUACCUAUAUAAGGGUAUAUCAACUCAAAUGCUUUAAAAAGUACACAUUUUAAAUAUUAUUUGAGAAAUCCAUUCAUACACGCUGAUAGCCGUGCAUAAGCGCUUUGAGAGCAGAGAUUGUGCGAGUGCGCCAAGUGGCAGGCCAGUUGCUUGCCACAUGCAACGCAGCAGGUCAAUAAAAGUGUACACACACCGGCAUAGAUAUAACACAUGAUUUUUCAGGAAAUCGGCUGAAUAAUCAUGAGUCGUCCAACACAGCAACGCACAAUGCCACAACAGAAGCCGCCGAAGCAGUACCUUACCGAGCAGGAGGCCAUCGCGGCCUCCGAGCUCUUCGAUCUCUUCUGCGUCGCAACGACAAUGCGCCAGAUUUUGGGUUUGCAUCGCGACAUGUGCGACAUACUGGGCUUACGACCAGCCCCGAUCAACGAAUUCUACCCGAUGUUGAAGGCGAAGAUUCGUUCGUGGAAAGCGCAGGCGCUAUGGAAGAAGUUCGAUGCACGUGCGGCGCAUCGCGUCUACGCAAAAGGAACAGCGUGCAAUGGCACGCAUGUGCUAGUCAUUGGCGCAGGUCCAUGUGGCUUGCGCACCGCCAUUGAGGCGCAGUUGUUGGGUGCCAAAGUCGUUGUGCUGGAGAAACGCGAUCGCAUUACGCGCAACAAUGUGCUGCACUUGUGGCCGUUCGUCAUUACCGAUCUGCGGAAUUUGGGUGCAAAGAAAUUUUAUGGAAAAUUUUGUGCCGGUUCCAUAGAUCACAUAUCCAUUCGGCAGUUGCAAAUCAUAUUAAUGAAGGUUGCGCUGCUGCUGGGUGUCGAGAUACAUGAGAAUGUGUCCUUUGAGCGAACAAUUGAGCCGAGUGGCGAUGGCUUCGGCUGGCGUGCGGCCGUAACACCAGCGGAUCAUGUGGUUUCAUAUUAUGAAUUCGAUGUUUUAAUCGGAGCCGAUGGUAAACGUAACACACUGGAAGGAUUCAAACGAAAGGAGUUUCGUGGAAAGCUGGCUAUAGCAAUUACGGCCAAUUUCAUAAAUAAGAAAACAGAGGCAGAGGCUAAAGCGGAGGAGAUAAGCGGCGUAGCGUUCAUAUUCAAUCAGUCCUUCUUCAAGGAGCUAUAUGAGAAAACGGGCAUUGAUUUAGAGAAUAUCGUCUAUUAUAAGGACGAGACGCACUACUUUGUUAUGACCGCGAAGAAACACAGUCUCAUAGACAAAGGUGUUAUAUUACAGGAUUUCUCCGAUCCGGCCGAGCUGCUCGCUUCAGCCAACGUGAGCGCCGAAAAGUUGCUCGAUUAUGCGCGUGAAGCGGCCGAAUUCUCCACAAAGUACCAAAUGCCAAAUCUUGAGUUCGCCGUGAAUCAUUAUGGCAAACCCGACGUCGCCAUGUUCGAUUUCACAUCCAUGUUCGCCGCGGAGACAUCGUGCCGUGUGAUGUUGCGGCACGGCCAUCGUUUGUUGCAAUGCUUGGUGGGUGACAGCCUGCUGGAGCCCUUCUGGCCCACUGGUUCGGGCUGCGCGCGCGGUUUCCUUUCUAGCAUGGAUGCCGCAUAUGCGACUAAACUUUGGUCUAACCCGCGCAAUAGUAUUAUGGGCGUUGUGGCGCAGCGUGAAAGUAUAUACAGACUACUUAAUCAGACCACACCUGAGAAUUUACAGCGGGACACAGGUUCUUAUACAGUUGAUCCAGCCUCAAGGUAUCCCAAUCUGAAUCGCACGGCUGUCAGCCCCUACCAGGUGAAAACGCUCAUCGACUCAGAUGAUCCAAAGGUAUUCGAGCAGCCAAUAGCCGAAAUCAUAACAACGCCAGCGUUAGCUGAGGCCCCAGCGUUGUUGCGCAAAACCCGUCGUAGUACAGAUAUUGUGCCUGAAGCUCUGCUACAUUGGGUUUGCACUCAGCUGCAUAUGUACGAUUUCGUAAAGGAAUUACAGGAACCUGCCGACAUACUUAAAAAUGGAAAAUCACUAUGCGCCUUAAUCAGCCGUUUUCGGCCGGACUUAAUCGAUUACUCAGCAACACGUGACUUAACGCUGGCUGAACGCAAUGAAGUUGCUUUCAGAAUAUUAGAAGCGGAAUAUCAACUGCCACGCAUCAUGAGCGGUGAGAAGUCUGUAGAUCUAGAGAAAGUGGAUACACGUCACUGGCUGCACUAUUUGAAUCAAGUGCGUGAAGUGUUCCGCGGUGAAGUGCCGUAUCUGAAACAUCCAAAGAUGGAUAUCUCAGAGCUGCGCGAAAAAUACCGUCUCAACAAUGCGCAUGCGCAGCCAGACUUCUCGAAAUUGUUGCAACUUUCGACCAAGCCGAAAUAUCCGAAAGCAAAAAGUCCCAUCGAGGAUAUGGUGGACGUGCCGCAAGUGGUGCAACGCCGCUCGGUGCUGGAUGAAGAGCGUGUAAAACGCGUGCGCAGGCAUGAGCCGGCUGCAGGCGGCCCAGCUGCAGCCAGUUCGCCACAACAAGGUCAAACCGAUACACCACGUCGUGCCAAGAAGAGAAGAAAUGUCGAGAAGGCUGCUAAUAUUGAAGAACGACAAAAGCGCCUACAAGAAAUCGAACAAAAUCGCCAGGAGCGUAUAAGCAAACGUCGACAGCAACGUUAUCAACAGACACAGAACUUUUACAAGAGCUUGCAAAUGUUGCAAGUGAACACAUUGCUGCGUGAAACUGACGAUCCGACCGCAUUUGAGGACUACUCAUUGUUCAUAUAUCGCCAACAUGCGCCGGAGUUCAAUGAUCGCGUGAAGGAUUUGGAGCGCAAAUUGCUGUAUCCUGAUCGCAAUCGCGGCGAUAUACCAUCAGCCAUGCCACGAAAUAAUCCGGAUGAACAGUUUAGUGAUCGCAUCAAAUCUAUGGAGCAACGCAUAAGCUCGAAGAAUGCUUGUGGCAAUGAUAAGAAGCCCAAAGACUUAAUGCGUGCCAUUGGCAAGAUCGACAGCAAUGAUUGGAAUGUGCGCGAAAUCGAAAAGAAAAUCGAACAAUCAAAACGAACUGAAAUACACGGUCCGAAAGGACGUGAAAAGGUGCCGAAAUGGAGUAAAGAACAAUUUUUGGCUAGACAAAAUAAAAUGGCAAAACCAACGCGCCAAGAAUCUGUAGAGGAGAAGUUCAAAGAGAUCGAUCAAACCUUAAAAAAUUUGGAUAAACAGCUAAAGGAGGGUUCCAUACUGGAAGUUGGUGAACGCGGCCGCAACAAGGUCGCAUCAAUUGCUGGGCAAUUUGUUAAGAAAGAUGAUAAAACGAGCGACGAAAAGAAUCCUACUCCCGCCGCUGUCAAUAGCGCGCCGAAAUCCAGCGCUAAGGUCGCGUUGGCAUUUAAGAAGCAAGCCGCGUCCGAAAAGUGCCACUUCUGCAAACAAAUCGUUUACUUAAUGGAAAAAAUCACCGCCGAAGAUCUCGUAUUUCAUCGUUCGUGUCUGAAGUGUCAUCAUUGUCAUACAAAUUUGCGUCUCGGCGGCUAUGCAUUCGAUCGCGACGAUCCAAAUGGACGCUUCUACUGCACGCAACACUUUAAGCUGCCAGCAAAGGCAAUACGUCCUGUAGUCAGAAAACCAGGUCAAAGGAAGCCAACUCAGCAGCAACAAGCUGCCGCCGCUGCAGCUGCUGCCGUCGACAUUACCGUUACAACGGCGGACGCUGCAAGUGGAAUCACACAAACAGACCUACCCAAAACGCCUGAUAAACUUCGUGGCCCCGCUGACAGCGUUGUACAGCUCGAUUUAUUGGAUCGUGGUCAAACACCAGAACGUAUCGAAUUCGAAAAUACCGAUGCUAUGUCCGAUGGUGAACCUUCGGAGGAGCAUAUACUCGAUGAGCACGAGUGGUCGGGCAGAAAUUUCUUGCCUGAAUCUAAUCAAGAUUCUGAAUCGGAUCUCUCCAGUUCCGAUGACUCGGAUACCGAGUCCGAUGCUGAUAUGUUCGAAGAGGCAAAUGACUCACCAUUGGCCGCACAAACUUUACAGUUGGCCACCGAUUGGAUUGGCAAACAACAUUACUCCGAUAGUGAUGAUUCAGAUGAUUUUUAUGAUUCGAGUGACGGAAUUGCGGAUGACGAUGGUAAAGACGAUACCGAAGGUGAAGAUUUCAAAAAGGCUCGUGAACUACGUCGAGAAGAAGUGCGCCUACAGCCACUGCCCGCGAACUUGCCCACUGACACGGAAACUGAGAUUCCAUUGCCAGCUGAAAAUAAUGAAAGCAUUGAAAAUGUAGAAAUGAUUCCAGUUCCGGCAGGUAAUGAGGCUGUUGAGCAGCCUGCCCUAAAGCAAGACGCUAAACUAGAUAUUGAUAAGUGUUCCGAAAAUUCAUAUAACUCUGAAAAAUCCUUCAUGUCGGUGGAUUCGUUUGCUGGUGACAUAGCACCACUUGCCACACACGCCCCCUCUAAAGGGCUACCACCUACAAAAGCGGACAUUGAGAAGUUGGAACAAAGCACUGGACGCCGCUUUAGCGCCGAAAUUGAGGCAAUCAAUGAGAAACUACAUCGCCUCAACAGUGUGGUUAAAAUGAGUAAGGAUAUCGAAACCAUAGCCAAAGAAAAUUUAGUAAACAGCGAUAUACUGAAGAAAUUAACAAUGAAAGAAAAAUGGCUGGCAGACAACUCUGCAAGCAACUCAAAUCCACUAGCACCCAAGUCAGCAUUUGAAAAUCGUUUUGCCCCGAAACAGGAUGUGCUAAAAGAGCAGAAAGAAAAUGCGAAGACUGAUGAGAAUAUAAAACAGCCUACUGCUACCUUGGCUGAAAGUGUGUUAGAGAAGCUAAAAACAGAAUUAAAAUCUGAAAAGAGUAACGAGAAUGCCAGCACAGAUAUUAAAAAGUCUGCCGCGGCUCAAAAAGCCACUUCACCUGAAGAGGUAUUGGCGAGUUUGAAAGCAGAGAUCAAAACAGCUUCGCUCAAUCGCCAAGGCAGUCUUAAAAGACAACAGCUAAGUCCGACUGCCAGUCCCAGCGCUAGCAAAAAGCCCAGUGCAAGUGCUAGUCGCUCUAAUAGUUUUAAGAGCAAAGCUACACAGGAAAACAAAGAAUCUGCUAAAAGCGGAGAACAGUCUGUUAGUCGCACAAACAGUCUUAAGCGUUCGGAAAAAUUCACCUCUAAGGACGAGGUCAUAGCAAAUGAUAGCCGAAUGCAAAUACAAAACAUAUUGGGUCUUGUGAAGAACAUUGAUGAUAGCAAAGAUAAGGGAAUUGGUCCUAAUCGGUCGAAUUCAGAUAUGGGUAAGCUGUUUUAUGACGCGGAGAGUAAAUUCUCACCAAAGGUCGACAGACGACUGAUGCAGGAAAAGUUAAAGGAAAUCGAAGCAAAAAGUUUUUCCGGCACAAUGGACGCCAUAAAAUCGCAAAUGGUCGUGCCAACUGUUAGUUCCCAAGCAAACCCAUCCGUAGACCUCUCCAAAUAUUUUCCCGAUCAAAAGCAACAGAAAACAAAUGCCGCUGCCGUCAAUAAAAACCAAAAAAAUUUAAAGGAUGUUGAUUUAGCAAAAUAUUUUCCCAGCAGUCCGACGCCACAGCGUCGCAGUGCCGUAGUGACAGUUGCGGACAAGUUGAAGAAGUCGCAAACGGAGAAUGCCAUUGCGCCUGCACCGACUACUUCCACAAAUGCAAGCAAUAAAAACACAACGGCGGUUAAGGUCAACAAACUUGCGCCGAAACGACAAGCUUCACUGGGAAACGCCGCUUUCAGUUUGCGUGAUCAUCAGUUGGACGGCGCCGUUGAUUUGUCAAAGAAAACUACACCAGUCGUGGUCAAUAAAGAUGUAGCAGCAAAAAGCGGACAAGCCGCCGUCACAACCACAACUGCAACGGCAGCUGUGACAAGGAAGGGUAAUGUGAAGAUCAUAAAAAAGAUUGUGCCCAAAAAGAAGGUGGGAGGAAACGCAACGAAAAAGGCCAAUGGCGUACAAGACAAAUCUAUUGUGCCACGUGAUGAAUCUGAUCGGGUGCUAGAUGAAAUUCUACAAUGCUCUGAUAAGGAGAUGCAUUCACCCAGUGCGGAGUAUUCGAAACUAUUCAAGGAGGAAAAAUCACCCAGCGAAGAUCUUUCAGAUAAAAUUGAGCGUAUGUUCCAAGAAACGGGCAUAGAUUUAGGCAUAGCCGAACCAGCAACAAUCAGCAAUAAAAAGCGUUUGCUGAAAACCAAAUCAUUGGGGGAGGGGGAGUUCGAGCGACUCUCAAAAGAGAGAAGCAUGGCGAAAGACGAAUUGACAACUAAAGAGGACGGCGAUCGACCCAUCGGUGUACAAGGCUUACUGGCACGUUUCGAAUCAAUGAGUUCGGUUAAGUCUUCGGAGCAAUCGUUCAAACUGCGGCGUAUGGAAUCAACCAUAAGCAAUUUAAACAAGUCGCGGGAAUCACUAAUUUCUCAUGAUUCCGUCAUGUCGCGUGAGUCCGACUCAUUGAGUGAUUUGGAGAAGACAAUGGAAUAUCUGAAGUCUGAAUGGCGUAAUGAAGCAACCAAUUUUCUACAAAAGAAACGCGAUAACUUCUUUUCGAAGAAACGUGCGAUUGAAGAAGAAGAAGCGGCAGCCAAAACCGAAGCAUUGAAAAAGUCAAAAUACGAAGAUUUGCCCGUGCAAUACCGUGAGUCGAAGUUUGCCAAGUUUUUCGGUAUCAAAUCGAAAUCACCAGAAAAAAUUAAAACCAAAUCACCCGAGAAGAAAAAUGUGGCAACCACAAAAAAAACUUUAGUUAAUAGCGGCACAGUGAAGAAAUCAUCGUCGCCAAGCAAGAACUUAAAUAAAACCACGGAAACGAAAGCGAAAGCGAAACAGUCCACAAAUUUACAAGUUAACUCAAAGAAUGCCAAACGUAAGUCGCCUUCGCCAACAAAAAGUCAACGCAACACUUCUGACAACACAAAGAACAACGUCGAAAAGGUUUCAAAACCAGCGGAAGCUGCAAGGAAGAGGAUAUCGCCGCCUAAAAGUCAAAUGGAAGACUUCGAAACCUUACUCUUAGUGGAAAAGGGUAGUAUAAUGAACUUAGAGACCAAGGUAUCGCCAGUUCAUGACCAAAAUGUUAUUGUGGCUCAAGACCCUUGCGAUCAAAACCAAUCCAAUGGCGUUGCGUGCACUGUUACUGACACGGCUAUUCAAACCAAAACUUUAUCGCGCCAAAACUCCAACAACUCUGAUAAUUCAGCACCAGAAACACCGGUCUUAAAAAGACGGCCACUUGUAGAGGACAUAAAAAAUUUACCAAAGACAGGCUGUGACAAAUCGCUAAGCAAUUCACGCCGCAAUUCCGCCGCAAGUUUGCAUUCGCGACGCUGUUCAGAUGUCUCGCUGGCUGAAAAACUGGAUAUUGUAGCCACAAAAUUUACACAAAGUUCGCCAGAUAGUGGAAAUAUGGAUGAACUGUUCCAAAAUAUUGUAGAACGUCUUUCUAACGAACACAGUGAACAGAACGCCAAUACAGAAGAGGAAUGUGAUUCAUUGUGUACGUCUAUUAGUAAAAGCCCCAGUGCUGCACCGACGACAGUACGCAUGCGGGGCUCGUCAGAGGAUGAAAGCAUCGAAAAGUUAUUUAGUCAGUUCUCAGAUGAAAUGUUGGUGAAUGUGGAGUUUGAUUCGAACGAUGAAUUGGUGGGCAUCACACCACGCAUACCAUUGAAGAGCACUGCGAUCGAAGAGGACGCAGAUUUUGUUGAUCGACUUGAGUCUUUAGAAAAGGAUGAGGUGCCUACAAUCAAAUUUGAAACACUAGAAUCUCCCAAAGCUUCAUCAGAUUUCACACAAGCCAAUGAGCAUGAAAAUAAUAAAAGUGCCACGUCUAAUGCUGAUCAAAAAACACUCUGCAAUCCCUCAGCUAUCAAAGCAGGACCCUUAACUCUCGAGAGUAUACAGACAAUGCUUUAUAUGGAACCCCAAGAAAUGCCUUUCCCCAUCCGUCCACAGCGACGACAGAAAAGUACCUCAUCCUCCAGUGAAGCUUCAGCACCCAUUGCACCGCAACGCAUCAAACACAAAUUAGCAAAAUUAUGCCCCGACAAUAUGCCUCCAUCGGUGCAGGAUUUAUUGCAAACAACAUUCACAAAAAGUUUAACUGCUGAAUUAGCAGCAAAUGGUGGCAUUUCAAUACACAAGUUCCCACGUAACAUAUCCGAAGAUGAAUUAGAGGAUGUGAAGGAAAGUCAUUACCAGAACCUUCCAAUCUCUGUUCAACGAUCAAGUCCAAUAACUGAAAAUACGAGCAAUGUACAAUCAAAUCAUGUUGUCAACGAGACACUCCCUAUUAAGGAUAUACCUAAAGAAACUUCAAAAGUUGCGAAAAUAAAACAAACGGAAGAUGGAAAGAUCAAUGAUGUGCAAACCAUAAAUGACGAAGAAAGCAGAGCCAACUAUUCUAAUAAUAAGCAAUCGACUCAAGAUAUCACUUCGAAUGUGAUUCCUGAAAUGCCAGUAAAAACUGAGACUUCUAUUAAUCAAAUAAUAACUCCAUCCAAUGAACCUGGAAUCAUCCUUCGAAAAAAUUCACAAGCCUCCAUUGAUGAAAAAACGAGUAAUGCAACCGGAUCUGCUGCAAUGCAGCGAACCCUUCCAAGAAAUUCACAGGCCUCCAUUGAUGAAAAAACGAGUAAUUCCACGGAAUCUGCAGCAAUGCAGCGAACCCUCCGAACAAAUUCACAGGCCUCCAUUGAUGAAAAAACGAAUAAUGCAACCGAAUCUCCAGAAAUGCAGCGAAACCAACCGCGAUCCGCAAUAAACGGGAAAACAAUUAAAACCGAAGCGAUUUCUAACACACCAAGGCUUCCAAAAUCUUCAGUCUUAGAACAAACAACAUCGCCUCUCAAACAGAGUCCGUUAUUACAGCGAAAAUUAUCGCAAUCUUCUACUGGCAGUAAUAAGAUACCAACUCUCAAUGACUCUCCGAUCACACAAAGCAAAGCAACGCAAAAUACCAAUGUGGACCUUGGUAAUUCUCCAUUGAUGCAAUGGCGGUUACUACAAGCUGCAAGCAAUUCAGACUCAGCAGAGAAUCUAUCCACGACCACUAAUCUUAAAGACAAUUUAAAUGGAGAUAAUACGAAAUCAUCAAACAGCAAUGAGAUUUUGAGCGUUCCAAAUUCCAGCAAAGCCUCAAGUAAGGAGCGAUCGUUGGAAUGGGAUAUGACUAAAAUGCCGGCGAGUCCUAUGCCACGACGUAAAUUCAUUCAUGCCGAACGCCGUGGUUUAGACGAAACUAGAAUAAAAGAUGUUUCGCCGACGAGUUCAAUAAGACUGCUGAAUAAUAUUUCCUCCAACAGCAGUGACUCAGAUGAACGUCGUAUAAUAGAAGAUUUCGAAAUGGAGCGCCGUCAAGCAUUGAUACAGCGUGACAAAGAAUAUAAAGAAUUGGAGAAAAAAGAAAGAGAGAAUGAAAAUAUAACGAAAGUAAAGAAACCACAAACGGGUAAUAAAAUCAAUAGCAACAACAACUCUAAGUGCACAACACCACGUCCCACACCACUGAGUUCGCGUCGGGGGACACAAGAUAGCAUUAGCACACAAAGAGAGGUCACACCACCAAACUUUAAAAAGCUUGUAAUACCAGCGGAAACAGAAGAUUUACCUUCACUUAGUUCCCGUUGCAGCUCAUUUGCGUUUAUCGAGCUGAUGAGCAAUGGUGAAGCGAGGGAAGCGCCGAUGCCACAAAAAUUGAAAAUUCCCACAAAACCGCAACCGAUAGUCUUGCCAGAGAUCAAUGAACCUAUAGCCGAAGUUUUUCAGAAUAGACCAUGGCCUAAGCCGGAGCUUUCACCAGAGAUCGAUAUGAGUGAUUCACCCGAUACGGUGAUCGAGGUGAAACGCGCUAAUUCAGCACCACGAUCACCGGUUGCCGAAGUUUUUCGUAAUCGCAAAUGGCCUGAUGGCAAAACGGUAUUCAACGAGGAGAGUGAACAAUACUCAGACGACGAUGAUUUCAUCAGAAAGAUCUCUAAGAAUAGAAGCAAAUACCGCAAAAUGCAAUCACAUUCACCACAACCAACGACUCGGCAUAGAUUGGCUACCGACGAACUAAGUGAUGGAAAAAUGUCAUCAAAGUCCAUCUCAGAUCUUCGCAAAGAUUCGCCUAUCACCUCCAUCUAUGAAGCGGAACCCUCACUUAAUUUCGGUACGCGGUCAUCCGCAUCGAGUGUUGACAACUCAUCUACGCAUACUUCGAUCAGUGGUGCGCCGAAACGACCGUUGCGACACAUACCAGUUGGUCAAACGCCCGAACAAACAAUAGACGCCAGUACACGAAUGCUGUUGGAUCGCAGCAAACGCUUACAUAAUCGUAAAAGUGAGUUUAUCAAUGAACGUGCCGCUGAACGGAAUCCAUAUUUACGCGAUGUAGUUAACGCAGAGCGCAUAGAACGUGAGGCACUCGAUGCAGCGGAGGACGAGUUGGAAUGUUAUCGACCCAGCGGAUAUAAGAGCAAACAACUGACACGUUUUCCCACUUCACGAACACUUGGGCGCGAUCAUAGCAGAUUGUCAAAUAGUCAUUAUAGUUACACGCCUACAUAUAAUUCGGAUUAUGCGUUGAGCAACCGACGCCUUUAUGGCACACCGACAUUACCAUAUACCAGCACCGCUUCUUUAAACCACAAUCCAUAUCUGACUACGGGUAGUGCGGCGUAUGGUGGCGCCAUUGGACGCAGCAUGCAUUUCAACGACUACACUAGGCGCAGUCCUUCGCGGCACCGUGAACGGGAACACUCCAAAGAAUCGUGCGUUAUAGCUUAAAAGAAAUAUGCAUUCAUUUAUUUUGUUAGAUGCACUAAAUUUCCAUUUAACAUUAGAUUUUGGAGAUAUUAAUACAAUGCUUUCAACGAACAACAACAACUACAACACGAACAAAACUCAAAGCGAGCCAAGAAACUUCAAAAAGUUGUUUUACCCAUACUUUGGCUCAAAUAACGAACGAAACUAGUUGAAAACAUAAGUACAUUCACAUAUUUGUAAGAAUUAUAAACAAUUUUGAAUACAAAAAAUUUUAAUAACAAACUAAUGUAAUGAAACCAACGCCAGUCUCAACAAAAUAGUACAACAUACACAUAUCAAAGUCUUUAGUUAGCAUUACACAUACUAAAGAAUUAAAGUAAUCAAUUUAAAUAAAUGUAAACGUAAACACAAACAUAAACAAAAACAAAAAACAAAAAAAAUAUUCGUUGCAAUGCCUGUACGUACGACCCUCCAACGACCAACCAACGGACCAAGCAACCAACCAACAACCAUUCAACCAAAAACGUCUGCCUAACUGCCCGCCAGCUUGUUUACGCUCGGUGUGCCUCAAACAAACAUAUAAAUCCUUGAAUGCGGUUAACAAAAUUGUCUCCCACACAUUCACAUUUAAGAGCGGAAGAGGAAUUGAAAAAGUUAAAACAAAAAUUAUGACAAAGUGCAAUAAGAGAGAGUUGAGGCUUAACACUCAAUAACCACCAUCGGGUACGAUCUGUGAAGGUUCAAAGCGAAUCAGAGUCGACAUCUCCCGAGGAGGUUGAGCUCAAUUCAGCCACGGAAAUUUCCACUGAUUCGGAG